UGAAGCUGCAUGACAAAGAAGCUUUGUAUUAUACCAGUGACUUUAAGACUGUUUCCAAUGUUCUCCCUUUAAAGGAUGUACAACGGGGCAACUAGGUAACAGGACUGGCUGCUAAGUGAACUGUUUAAACCUGUCUCUGUGUGACACUUCAUCCACUUUCUUCAAUCACAAUCUGUUUAGAUGCGACCCCACUCACUAAGAAUGCAUGCAGACAAAGUGGGUUAAGUGUAUUGGUUAACAACACAACAACUGUUGAGAGUGGGUAUGCCAACCUCACAAUGAUUAAAUCUAACUAAGAAGCUGGCAUCUUCACUUGAAGACGUGAUUGUCCUGCCUGUCUUCCUGUCUGUGGAGUGUCAAAGGGGGGGGGCGACUCAGAUAUCCCCCUUAUGUAGUGAGGUAGUGUCCCCAAUAAAAAAGACCAUCAGGCUGCUUUGUUUAGCCUGGCCUCAGUUAAUCCCAGUGUGGCCAGUGAAGCGCUAUUGAGAGACUGGAGAGAGAGAGCAUGCAUCAGCCCUUAAGGAGCCAUGGCCCCUGCUUUUCGAAAUCCCAAGAAACUUCACACCUCACUGUGGCACUAUAAAUAAGCUCCAUCUGUCCCACCAGGCUCAGUUACAGCCCCAUUCCUUUGGGCAAGCGGGUUGGAGGGCAGGGGGAAGAAGUCAGUUAAAAUAAAGGGGGUCCAAAUCCAACUUCUGUCUUGAGUCAUGGUUGCUGGCUCACAGGAUGACCUCUGCAGUCGAUAAGGGAGAUUUCCUCAACUACAAGUCAAUGCCUGAGACAAAAUUCUAUUACUAGACUUAUGUUGAUUCACUAACAUGUAA